UACCAGCUCUCCGAGUGGUAGGGAUGAUUAUUGGGCUUAAAGCGUCCGUAGCCGGCUUGGCAAGUCCCCUGUUAAAUCCACCGAUUUAAUCGUUGGUGUGCGGGGGAUACUGUUCGGCUAGGGGACGGGAGAGGCCGACGGUAUUUUCGGGGUAGGGGUGAAAUCCUAUAAUCCCGGGAAGACCACCAGUGGCGAAGGCUGUCGGCUAGAACGCGCCCGACGGUGAGGGAUGAAAGCUGGGGGAGCGAACCGGAUUAGAUACCCAGGUAGUCCCAGCUGUAAACGAUGCAGGCUAGGUGUUUGGGCGGCCACGUGCCGCUCUAGUGCCGCAGAGAAGUCGUUAAGCCUGCCGCCUGGGGAGUACGGCCGCAAGGCUGAAACUUAAGGAAUUGGCGGGGGAGCACCACAAGGCGUGAAGCUUGCGGUUC
rnacentral:rRNA from 1 species